GCUUUCAGCAUUGAUCUCACCUCCUCGAAGAUGACAUAUCUGAUCCCUCUGUCUAAAUAAGCUUCAGUAGGGUUGCCUGGUGCUUACUUAGGUCACCGCUGGAACCUCAUUUCCUGGCAUGGUCAAAUGAAUUAAUGAACAAAUGAAGGCACAUGUAAAUUUGGAGUCCCAUUUCUUCUCCAGAAGCAAUCUUUACCCCC